UACGAAGGGGGCUAGCGUUGCUCGGAUUGACUGGGCGUAAAGGGCGCGUAGGCGGUUUGCAUAGUCAGACGUGAAAUUCCUGGGCUUAACCUGGGGACUGCGUUUGAUACAUGCAGGCUUGAGUUCGGAAGAGGGUCGUGGAAUUCCCAGUGUAGAGGUGAAAUUCGUAGAUAUUGGGAAGAACACCGGUGGCGAAGGCGGCGACCUGGUCCGAUACUGACGCUGAGGCGCGAAAGCGUGGGGAGCGAUCCGG
rnacentral:rRNA from 1 species